AUUUCAUAGUGGACCUCAGAUUUAUCUUCGAGGGCAGACAACUGGAGGUGGGUCGUACACUUGGCUCUUAUGGCGUACUAAACGAAUCUACUAUUCAUGCAGUUCAACGUCUACGUGGUGGAGAGAGCUGUGCACCUGAAGAUGAAGAUGAAGAUGAAGGAAUGUCCAGGACUCAAUCAAUGGAAGUAUUAGCUGAAAUGCAGAAGACUGAGCCAGAGUAGAUCAUGUUGCAUUUCAGUGCAGCCUCAUAUAAAUCCACAUACUGUACAUACUGUAUAUUCAUCCUGUGGGUGUAUCUUUCAAAUUUACUACCUUAAAAUAUACUAUCAAAGGAUAUUAUCUUCUGAUUUCAGCCUUUUAAAGUCAAAUAUUUC
rnacentral:lncRNA from 1 species